UACGUAGGGUGCAAGCGUUAAUCGGAAUUACUGGGCGUAAAGCGUGCGCAGGCGGUUAUAUAAGACAGUUGUGAAAUCCCCGGGCUCAACCUGGGAACUGCAUCUGUGACUGCAUAGCUAGAGUACGGUAGAGGGGGAUGGAAUUCCGCGUGUAGCAGUGAAAUGCGUAGAUAUGCGGAGGAACACCGAUGGCGAAGGCAAUCCCCUGGACCUGUACUGACGCUCAUGCACGAAAGCGUGGGGAGCAAACAGG
rnacentral:rRNA from 1 species